rnacentral:rRNA from 1 species
CCUACGGGAGGCAGCAGUGAGGAAUAUUGGUCAAUGGGCGGAAGCCUGAACCAGCCAAGUAGCGUGCGGGAUGAAGGCCCUACGGGUCGUAACCCGCUUUUGCACGGGGAUAACACCCUCCACUUGUGGAGGUCUGCAGGUACCGUGCGCCUAAGGGCCGGCUGAUUCCGUGCCAGCAGCCGCGGUAAUACGGAAGGCCCGAGCGUUGUCCGGAUUCAUUGGGCGUAACGGGAGCGUAGGCGGGCGUUCAAGUCAGCUGUGAAAUCGCGCGGCGCACCCGCGCCCCGCAGUUGAAAGUGGACGGCUUGAGUGCACAACAGGCAGGCAGAAUUCGUGGUGUAGCGGUGAAAUGCAGAGAGAUCACGAGGAACCCCGAUGGCGAAGGCAGCCUGCCGGGGUGCGACUGACGCUGAGGCUCGAAGGUGCGGGUAUCAAACAGGAGUAGAGACCCGGGUAGUC